GUUCUUUCAGCAUAUCUAGCAACGGACUUUCAUAUGCCUAAUAAUGCUUUCCAGCUUAGCACAUGUACAAGGAUUAGAGAGAUAUUCGGGAAUGCGGGGUUAGCACAAGAAGGCUUCAGAAUAUGUUUGGGAGAGAAAUUGAUGGGCUUCCAGCUUCAAUGUCUUCUUCCUUAAAAUAUGUAGGCUAUAUGAUAUAUUUUUUUCUUGGAAACAUUACUCGCUUGAUCGUUUCAAUCGCUCACUCAUCUCACAACAACUCUCGGUGUGUCUGAACAGAACAACAUUAAACUCUUUGCGGCCAACAAAAAGAGAUUCGAUAGCUAUUCAGAAGCCUCGGAGGAUUAUGUGAAAAGAUAUGAGAGAUCUUUUAGAAGGCUUCCAGUGGCUCACAAGAUUCAAUGUUAGUCUGGAAUCCUAGGGGAUUUCAGAUUAGGAAGGUGAUCGAUGUCGUAAGGUCGGUCAAAAAUAAAGUAAAGUGUCCUAUUCACCUUUUACUAGUAAAGGGCAAGUAGGGUGUCGAAUCCACGGGGAAUCAGUGGAAAGUGUGAAAGCUCGUUGUUUUAAUUAUCAUCUAUUUCUAAAUUAAUUGCUUUUUGCUGAUUAAGAGAGUUAUUAGAAAAACAAAUGUAAUGGAUGUGGUUGUAAACAAUUAUGA
rnacentral:lncRNA from 1 species